AGAGUUUGAUCCUGGCUCAGAUUGAACGCUAGCGGGAUGCCUUACACAUGCAAGUCGAACGGCAGCACGGACUUCGGUCUGGUGGCGAGUGGCGAACGGGUGAGUAAUGUAUCGGAACGUGCCCAGUAGCGGGGGAUAACUACGCGAAAGCGUAGCUAAUACCGCAUACGCCCUACGGGGGAAAGCAGGGGAUCGCAAGACCUUGCACUAUUGGAGCGGCCGAUAUCGGAUUAGCUAGUUGGUGGGGUAACGGCUCACCAAGGCGACGAUCCGUAGCUGGUUUGAGAGGACGACCAGCCACACUGGGACUGAGACACGGCCCAGACUCCUACGGGAGGCAGCAGUGGGGAAUUUUGGACAAUGGGGGAAACCCUGAUCCAGCCAUCCCGCGUGUGCGAUGAAGGCCUUCGGGUUGUAAAGCACUUUUGGCAGGAAAGAAACGUCGUGGGUUAAUACCCCGCGAAACUGACGGUACCUGCAGAAUAAGCACCGGCUAACUACGUGCCAGCAGCCGCGGUAAUACGUAGGGUGCAAGCGUUAAUCGGAAUUACUGGGCGUAAAGCGUGCGCAGGCGGUUCGGAAAGAAAGACGUGAAAUCCCAGAGCUUAACUUUGGAACUGCAUUUUUAACUACCGGGCUAGAGUGUGUCAGAGGGAGGUGGAAUUCCGCGUGUAGCAGUGAAAUGCGUAGAUAUGCGGAGGAACACCGAUGGCGAAGGCAGCCUCCUGGGAUAACACUGACGCUCAUGCA
rnacentral:rRNA from 1 species